AUUGAACGCUGGCGGCAUGCCUAACACAUGCAAGUCGAACGGCAGCACGGGAGCUUGCUCCUGGUGGCGAGUGGCGGACGGGUGAGUAAUGCAUAGGAAUCUGCCCAGUAGCGGGGGACAACUUGGGGAAACGUCAAGCUAAUACCGCAUGCGCCCUACGGGGGAAAGCGGGGGACCUUCGGGCCUCGCACUAUUGGAUGAGCCUAUGUCAGAUUAGCUUGUUGGUGGGGUAACGGGCCUACCAAGGCGACGAUCCAUAGCUGGUUUGAGAGGAUGAUCAGCCACACUGGGACUGAGACACGGCCCAGACUCCUACGGGAGGCAGCAGUGGGGGAAUCUUAGACAAUGGGGGCGAACCCUGAUCUAGCCAUGCCGCGUGAGUGAUGAAGGCCCUAGGGUUGUAAAGCUCUUUCAGCUGGGAAGAUAAUGACGGUACCAGCAGAAGAAGCCCCGGCUAACUCCGUGCCAGCAGCCGCGGUAAAGUAGA
rnacentral:rRNA from 1 species